AUGGCGGAUAGGAACCAGGCAGUAUCACUGUAUUGCUUGGGCCGAAAACCGCCAAAAUAAAUGGAGUGUUCCAAGGUCGUAUGUAUUACCUCGCGUACUAUGUAUAUCACCAGAAUAUUCGACAUUC
rfam:Nippostrongylus brasiliensis genome assembly, scaffold: NBR_scaffold0004566